UUCUCGGUAGCUUAGUUGGUAAAGCACUUGUCUAGCGAAUAAGGGUCGUGAGUCCAAAUCUCACCUGAGCUG
rnacentral:tRNA from 1 species